GACGAGGGAGUCUUUCGUGGGAGUCAAGAGGAGCUGAACAAAGGCUUUGGGGCGGCUGAAUCUUUUCAGGAGCCACAAAAUCCUGAAAAUCAAAGGCCACAAGAUUCACCUCCAGCUGUCCAGGUACCUCCAAUAAAAUCCAAUUCAUGGACCCUGCUAAGGCCACAAAAUAAUGGGAGCUGCCACGAGACGCCUGCAUCAAGAGUUGGUGACACUGUCCAGUUCCCCCAGAAACAAGGACAUUCAUUCACCCGAAGGCCACAAGACAGUUCACAAAGUGGCAUCUGCAGCAAGACACUUGCAAGAGUCGACUCCUGUGCCAUCCUGGAGUUAUGAGGCCCUAUUUGAAACUACAACCUCAUUAAUGCGGGACAUGCUCACCAAGCAGGAGAUGAUUCUCGAGCAGCAAACGCACAUCCUAAAAAUUCUACAUGCCAGAAAACUCUCAAUUUGAAAUGGAUGAGGGUCUCCUGCCAAUAAACCACCUCAGCCUGAUCGGCGGAAGUGGAUGUAAAGGAUACAGUGUGGCGGCCAAUGACAAUAUCAAACACCGUCGCACGGAGACCAAUUGGAGAGGAGUAAAUGGGAAAAUAUUCAUGGCUUCCCUACAACUGAAGAAGGCUGUAAUCGCUGCUGUAAGAAAGAACCCACUGACUUCGAGGGCUUCUGAACGUGAGGUGGAAAUGUUUAUGAAGAGCUGGCUACGGCUGCAGCGGAUCGAGAAGGGGGCAGAAGACGGCGAGCCAAAGUCCUUGUAGCUCCAUGAACAACGUUGAUUAAUGCAAUAAAAUAUUACAAAUUCGAGAGUGUAAAAUAUAUUAUAAUAGAC
ensembl:lncRNA